UCUGAACUCAGUACCGAGGAUUAUUCCACCCUGGCUGGUGCCAUCAUCUUCAGUAGCUGCUCUGAUACUGCCAAGUCCAGCAGACUGUGAAAUUUAAGAUUGGCACGCAGGACUUAAGCAUAUUGGCUAAAAGACCCUGAAGUGUUACAGCUUCAGCAGCUUAGACUUUUGCUGAGGCACAGUCUGGAAUGGCAGGUGUGGAGGCUGGUGUAUACCAUAGCAGAUGCUUUGUCUUGUGGGCAGCUGACCUUACCUCAGGCCACCUUCCUUUUUCCCUUCUCCACAGCUGGUGGGUCAAGACUCCUGACACUCUGCAGAAUCCUAGAUCGUCUCCGGACAGCUCUCUGUAGCAGGCAUCCUUCCUGUCAUUGGCCUCAGACUUGGACUGGGGUCUCUGUGCAAGACUGAUAACUUGUCCAGAAGCCUCGCUCAGCAAGACCCAUAGCUCCCAUUCAACCUGAAGUCUGAAGACUAGAUAAGGAAACUUUCUCUACCUCCUUUAUACUCUCUGGAAGGUCAGUAUUUUUAUGUGCUUGACCUCACGUGGGCAGACCUUGAAGUGGCAAAGGCAGUGAACCCUGAGGAGAUGGUGAUCAGCUACUGCUUCCUUCCUCCAACAUCCAUGAGAGAGACAGAGGCAGACGUGCACCAGGAGCGCAGCUGCUGUGUUCCCAGCAGAGACACCCUUCAAGAUACAUAAACCACAGCCUUGUCUGCUCCUCUCCAGAAGAAGGGGAUAUUUCCAACCCAGGGAUCGAACCUGCAUCUCCUGCUUGGCAGGUAGAUUCUUUACCACUGUGCCACCUGGGAAGCCCAAGAUGGCUAAUGGUUAUUCAGUAUACGAAAGGACAUCUCACCCCGAAUACUGACCUGCCUUGGAAGAGCUUACAUUGCUUCCAUGAAGAUGGGAAUUCUUCUGGGUAACUGAGAUCACAUUAAGGAAAUUUUAUUUAGUGAGAGGAAAAUCAAAACAGGAUGAAACAUCUGCUUUUAGAUCCCUAAAUUCAGAAGGAAGCUAGUUUCUUCUCCUUGAUUAACAACCACAACAGUUUUCACUUCAUUAGAUGUAGUAUUUGCAUAUAUAAAACUUACUGGAUGCUGCUUAUGUCUUCAAAAAUAAAUAUCAGAGAACUAAAGGUAAGUUUUAAAACACAUGAAGCCUAG
ensembl:lncRNA